AUACACUUCAAAAUGGUAUAUAAGCUAGAAAAUAAUCAAAACGUGAACAGCUAUAAAGACAGCUUUCAGAAGAUUACUUGAUAUCAACUUUUGAGGAAAAUGAGGUCGUACACAUUUGUUUUUCUUCUUGCAUUUUGUCUUGUUUGUAUGCCAAAGGCAGAUGCGGAUAAACGUAGCGCUCCCCGUAAGUGUUUCCCACAAAACGAUUGUGGAUUUAGUCGUCCACCAUGUGUUGGCUUAUGUAUCAGGAACGGAUGCAGCGGAAGUGACGCAAACUGCGUUGGAAACCGAGAAUGUUGUUGUCUUGAUUGUAAGGCCUGACAACCUCCUGUCGAUAGACCCAGGCUAUUAAUUAACUUUGAAGAAUGAAUUAAAACUUUUCCUUCUAGCU